rnacentral:misc_RNA from 1 species
AACGCACCUUGCGCCCAUUGGCAUUCCACUGGGCACGCCUGUUUGAGUGUCACGUCAACCAUCGCCUCGCGGGAUUGUCACGAUCUUGCGGAGCGGAUUUGGACGCUGCCGUCGUUGGCUCGUCUCGAAAUGCAUUAGCUGUCUAAGGACCGCCAUCCGGUGUGAUAAUUGUUGGUUAUAUGCGCCGUGGCCGUGUCUGGUGAAGGCUCACAAACCGCCCGCUCGGGCAAAUUUCAUGCUCUGGCCUCAAAUCAGGUGGGACUACCCGCUGAACUUAA